rnacentral:pre_miRNA from 1 species
GGAAUAUAAGAACCCAUCUCUUAACUUUUAACUAAAAAAGUUAAGAACCGGUUCUUAGCUUUUUUAGUUAAAAGUUAAGAGAAAGGUUCUUAUAUUCC